rnacentral:tRNA from 1 species
AGGGAAAUAGCUCAGUGGUGGAGCUGCAUGCUUAGCAUGAAUGGUCUUGGGUUCAAUUCCCAGUGCCUCCA